GCCUCUAUAGCUCAGUUGGUAGAGCGCGGCACUAGUAACAUUCCGACGUUCAACCGAGGUCAAUCCGAGGUUGUGCCGGUCAUCAUUGCGAUGCCGAGGUCUACGGUUCGACUCCGUAUGGAGGCA